AACGUAGGAGACAAACGUUAUCCGGAGUUACUGGGCGUAAAGGGCGUGUAGGUGGUAGUGUAAGUCUGGCGUGAAAUUUUUCGGCUUAACCGGGAAGGUCGUCGGAUACUGCACAACUAGAGGACGGUAGAGGCGUGUGGAAUUCCGGGUGUAGUGGUGAAAUGCGUAGAGAUCCGGAGGAACACCAGUGGCGAAGGCGACACGCUGGGCCGUACCUGACACUGAUGCGCGACAGCAUGGGGAGCAAACAGG
rnacentral:rRNA from 1 species